rnacentral:rRNA from 1 species
UACGUAGGAUGCAAGCGUUGUCCGGAUUUACUGGGCGUAAAGCGUGCGCAGGCGGCGCGUUAAGACAGGUGUGAAAGCCCCGAGCUUAACUUGGGAAUUGCGCUUGUGACUGGCGUGCUGGAGUGUGGCAGAGGGAGGUGGAAUUCCACGUGUAGCAGUGAAAUGCGUAGAUAUGUGGAGGAAUACCGAUGGCGAAGGCAGCCCCCUGGGCUAAGAUUGACGCUCAUGCACGAAAGCGUGGGGAGCAAACAGG